rnacentral:rRNA from 1 species
UGGGGAAUAUUGCACAAUGGGCGCAAGCCUGAUGCAGCCAUGCCGCGUGUAUGAAGAAGGCCUUCGGGUUGUAAAGUACUUUCAGCGGGGAGGAAGGCGAUAAGGUUAAUAACCUUGUCGAUUGACGUUACCCGCAGAAGAAGCACCGGCUAACUCCGUGCCAGCAGCCGCGGUAAUACGGAGGGUGCAAGCGUUAAUCGGAAUUACUGGGCGUAAAGCGCACGCAGGCGGUCUGUCAAGUCGGAUGUGAAAUCCCCGGGCUCAACCUGGGAACUGCAUUAGAAACUGGCAGGCUAGAGUCUUGUAGAGGGGGGUAGAAUUCCAGGUGUAGCGGUGAAAUGCGUAGAGAUCUGGAGGAAUACCGGUGGCGAAGGAGGCCCCCUGGACAAAGACUGACGCUCAGGUGCGAAAGCGUGGGGAGCAAACAGG